GCACACUUGGAUAUUUUCAAAGCCCAGAUACAAAUUAUUUGUAUGACUACUCACUUGUGAUAUAGUACAGUAAUAGGCAUAGAAUUUCUAGGUUAUAGAUAUUCUUUUAAUACUUAUUUCCAAGCCACCUUCCAGAAAUGUUGUACCAGUUCUCAUUCUCACCAGCACCGUAUAAAAUUGCCCAUUUUUCUGAACCCUCAUCUCUAGGUAUGAAUAAUUAAUAAUGUCAUGGAUUCAGAAGUCAGACUGUCUAUGUUCAACUCCAGCCUCACAAGUAUAAAGUAAUGUGGCUUUGAAUAUGUGGUCCAAUCUCCUUAUAAUAGCAUCUGUAAGCAAUUUAUAUGGUUAGGGAAAUUGAAUGAGUAAGGCGUGUAAAGCACUUAGAUCAUAAGUUGUCAAUAAAUGUUGGCUGAUGUUAUUAUCAAAAUUAUUUGCCAAGUUAAUACUUCAAAAUGUUACUUGCUCUCAUUUGCAUUUCCUUGAUUACUAGCUGAUGUGGACUGAAUGUUUGUGUUUCCCCAAAAUUAGUAUGUUCAAGCCCUAAUCCCCAAUGUAAUGGUAUUUGGAGGUAGGAUCCUUAGAAGGUACUUAGGAUUAGAUUAGAUCAUGAGAGUGAGGCUCUCAGGAGGAGAUUAGUGGCCUUAUAAAAAGAAAAAGAGUCACAGGAUCUCUUUCUCUGCCUGUGAAGAUACAGCAAGAAGGAAGCCAUCUAUAAUGCAAGCUGGGAAGAAAACCCUCACUGAACUCAACAAUGCUGGCACUCUGACUCCAACCUCCAGACAGUGAGAAAGAUGGAGUUUCACCGUGUUAUCCAGGAUGGUCUCGAUCUCCUGACCUAGUGAUCUGCCUGCCUCGGUCUCCCAAAGUGCUGGGAUUACAGGUGUGAACCACCACGCCCAGCCAAGAUUAUGUUUAAAUGUUAAGUGAAAAAGGAACAUAAAAUG
rnacentral:lncRNA from 1 species